GGGCUGGGUGCAGAUCCAGGGCUCCAUGAAGGAUAGCAAUGCCCAACAACUUGUUUUCUGCAGGAUUCCAGGAGGCUGAGGGAAUGGUUGUGGCCUGUUAAAGUUGCCCUGAAGCAGUUCAUCCCUAGUGUCAGCAGAAGCAAAGCCUGCAGAAGCCCUGGCCAUGUGGCCUUUUAAGAAACCAAUGGGUUCAUUGAGGUCCUGACACCUUCAAAUGCAGAUGAAUAAGCAGGGUUACAACUGGGGCUUGCUAAAAGUGUUUAAACGAAACAAAACAAAUGUCUUUUGUUUCAUUUUGUUUUGAUACAGUGUCUGAUGUAGCCUGGGCUGGUCUUGUACUCAAUAUGUAGCUAAGGCUGACCUUGGACCCCUGACCUUCCUGGAUCCUGCAUCCUGCAGGUGCCCUAGGCAGCUACAAGAUGAAGGGAAUGAGCAUCACGAUGAGGAAACUCAUGGAGUCACCAUGUGGAGGAGAGGUACCCGGGCAGGAGCGUCUGCAGAGAUUCUGGGAAUGAUGUCACACAACAUCAGAGGAAGCUGGCUAGCCCGAGAGACCCUAACUAAUGUGGGUAAGGCGAAAGAGCAGUGGAAGAUGAUUCCUGACAGCAACCUGGGGCUUAUACGAAUGAAAAGUGGAAAAAGGAGAAGCCUGCACUGUUUGCAAAGCAGGAGAAGAAAUCAAUCUGCUUUGAAGCAACAGUGGCCACGAAGUGAAGACACUCAAGGACCGCAAUUCUUUUUAGGGACUUCCUUUUAUGGGUUCAAGAGGGGGAAGGGCUUGGUUACUAGAGAUAUAUUUGGGUGGCUCUUCAUUUUGAUUGACAGACUUCUACCACGUAGCUGUAGCUCUUUGCUCACUGCAUGUGUCACUUCCCAUAAUGCAUCUGGUUUUAAGUGUAUGCACACCUAAUUAUGCAUAGGCACAACUUGAUAAGUAAGAGGUUCUCCUUAAAAGGCCACUUAGACACAGCUUGCCUUAUUUGCACACACAUCCCAAACCAGUUUAGGCUAGCUUGGCCUUUCUAUUACACCUGGAUAUAUAUAGAGUAGGUCUGAAUAAAAACUAGCCUGGUGGGUGGUGGUCUUUAAUCCCAGCACUCAGGAGGCAGAGGCAAGGGAUCUCUGAGUUUGAGGCCAGUCUGGGCUACAGAGUGAGUUCCAGGACAACCAGGGCUACAUAGAGUAAACCUUGUCUCAAAAACAAAACAAAAACAAAAAAGAGUCAAGCUGCCAAGUGCAAGCGCAUUGCUAAGAAGAGGGGAGGGUAUCUGCACAACCCACACCAAGUGGAGGCCCAAGCUGCUAAACUGUUUCUUACGUUUGUCUGCCUCAUUUCUACUUUGUUCCAUUGUCUUCCCCAACUACCUCUCUUAAAGACUACUACUUCCAGUCUAUGGGCCCCUUCCUAGUUUCCUGGUCUUUUCCCACGUUUAUUCCCACCUAUACACACAUAUUUAACAGUUUGACGUUAGAAUCUGCAUGUGACGGAGAAUUUAUGGUAUCUGUCUUUCUGAAUCUGGAUUAUUACCUGGCUUAGUCUAAUAUUUUCUAGUUAUCUAUCUUCCUGAAAAUGUCAUCUGUGUUUAUGGAUGAAUAAAGUUGCAUAUGUCUAUGGCC